GACGAACGCUGGCGGCGUGCUUAACACAUGCAAGUCGAACGGAAAGGCCCUGCUUUUGUGGGGUGCUCGAGUGGCGAACGGGUGAGUAACACGUGAGUAACCUGCCCUUGACUUUGGGAUAACUUCAGGAAACUGGGGCUAAUACCGGCUAGGAGCUCCUGCUGCAUGGUGGGGGUUGGAAAGUUUCGGCGGAUGGGGAUGGACUCGCGGCUUAUCAGCUUGUUGGUGGGGUAGUGGCUUACCAAGGCUUUGACGGGUAGCCGGCCUGAGAGGGUGACCGGCCACAUUGGGACUGAGAUACGGCCCAGACUCCUACGGGAGGCAGCAGUGGGGAAUAUUGCACAAUGGGCGGAAGCCUGAUGCAGCAACGCCGCGUGCGGGAUGACGGCCUUCGGGUUGUAAACCGCUUUCGCCUGUGACGAAGCGUGAGUGACGGUAAUGGGUAAAGAAGCACCGGCUAACUACGUG
rnacentral:rRNA from 1 species